UCAGAAGUGGACUUAGUGGGUCAUAUUGUAAUUCAAUUUUUCAAUUUCAGUUGCUAUUAUUUUAACCAAUCUCAUUUUAGAGAUGAUAAAAGCUGAGGCGCAGAGGCUAAACAGAAGGUGCAAGGCUGUACAGGUUAGGAAGUGGCAGUUCCUAAUGCCUGCACUGACUGAACAACAGUUCCCGAUGUUGGGGCUCAGUCAGAGCACAGGUACUCCCAGCACCUUCAUUAAGCAGGUAGAUUUCUGGGCCUCUGGGUCUAGAGAAAGAGAACCAUGAAAGUGUUAUCCAAGGGGUUGGGGAUGUGGCUCAGUUGGUAGAGUGCUUGCUUAGCAUGCAUGAAGCUCUGGGUUCAAUCCCCAGUACAGCACAAACUGGGCAUGGACUUAUGCCUAUAAUCCUAGCAACUUGGGAUACAGAGGCGUGGGGAUCAGGAGUUCAGUGUCAUCCUUGGUUAUAUGUAUAUAGCAAGUUUGCGGUCAGCUCAGACUACAUAAGACUAUAUCUCUAAAGAAGAAAACCAAUCCAAAUCUUCCAAAAACCAAUCCUCAAGUGUUUCUGGUGGGUGCCAGUUUGAUAGCCAUUGUUUGCUACUGUGAUAAUUAUCAUCAGUUUUGUCUUUGUUACCAAUUUCCCUGUCACAAUCAUCCUGUACCAGAUCAGUGAGCAUGUAAAAAGGUCUGGAAGUUGUGUGUGUGAGUGUGUGUGUGUGUGUGGGAGGGGGGUGUAGAGUUACCAAGGAUUUCUCUACAUGGAGCCUAGAGCCUGGCCUUUGACAAUUUCUGGCUUUCAAAGGGUGCCACAUUCAGUAUUCUAAUCAAGAAGGCAUCAGCCAGGCGCCUGCCCAGACCUCGCUUAGAUUCCUGACUAAUGCUCAUUAAGCAACUCAAGUCAAUGUGUUCCAAGUGUUCAUAGAGGCAGGGUGUUGGCAUUUUAAUCUCAUUAGGGAGUUGGAGCUCUAAGAGGCAGAGGCCAGAGCAGCCCUUUGCACUGUGGGGCAAGAUUCUUCACACUCAAGAGUACCCAACUCUGCCAUGCCCAUCCCAUCCCUUCCAGAUCUCCAUCCUCCCCUGGGAGAACAGCUUGAUGAUGGUAAUGCAACAGCUGCAAAUAGCUGGAUAACCAGCUCAGGUAAUCAGGCUGCCUGUCUCCCAGAGCAGACCUGGAUUAACUAUCUUAGCCUGUCCUGCUCAGUUGGCACCUAGCCACGGCACCACUCCCUGGAUCCAACUUUCUGGGAACCCCUCCUCCAUCAAUACCACUGAUAAAAGCCAGACCAGGCCUUGGGAAAGAAGCAGCCACAGGCAAUAUUACUAGCACAAAACCCUCAUUGUUUGAGGAGAAAGGCAUGGAAGAAGCAGAAGAGUGCAUAUCUGUUGUCAACGAUGGGCAGCUGAAAGGACUCUGAUAAAUGACCCUGCAUGCUAACAGAUGGGAGGAUAUGCAAAUACACAGCUAUGGCCAUCUACUUCCCUGCAAAAGAAAUAACUGGAGCAUCCUCUGUAAAAGCUCAUGGGUGUGCAUGCACACACAUAUUAAUAUAUGCACACACUUAUUACUCUGCUUAAAUUAAAUGAAGAAGCAAGUAUAAAGUAGAUUCAUACAUAUACCCACCUACUCAUCAUCCAUCUACUUGUUCACCCAUUCAUCCAUCUACCCACCCACCUAUACAUAUGUAAAUACAUUUGUCUAUUCCAACAUUGAUUUAACAUCUACUGUGGGCAAGAAUCAAACUGGAAGAAAAAAAGCAAUCUAGAUUGGAGGUUUCUAACUGGGAGACACAUUGGUACUGGCACUUUUAGGAACAUGUACACUAUUUCUCUAUACACCGCCUAUAUAUGUCAUUGUCUUGCACAACAUAUGUGGGAGCUAUUAUGUUCUGCACACAUUCAUUUCAACUAUUAUCAGGUUCAUAACAGCUUUCUGUCAUGAGUUUCCUGAACCAACAAAAGCAAAGGGAAUAAAUGCUACCCACCAGGAGACUGUAGAUCUUAUUUGGCAACUGAAAAGUGUAGACUUACACUGUAUAUGGAUUCAUGAUGAUAACAGCCACAGUCAACAAUGUGCCAUGUGUUGGACAUUCCUCUAGAAGUGUUAUAUGCUAACCCCCACAAGAAAUUUAUGAGAUGGUCAUAUUAUUAUUAUUGCAUUAUGCAAAUAAUCACACAAAACCAGGGAUAACUCAUAUAGCUUGGUUAGGUCACACACUAGCAGAGGCAGAGCUGGGGUUCAGGAAGCAUGGCUCCCAAAUUAAACUUUUUCAUUAUCCUUGUCCAGAGAGGAGAGAUUGUAGACUCCAAAACACCCAUUUUAAAGAUGGAGAGACUGAGAUGUAAGAGGCCAUGUGACAUGCCUAGUAAAUUCUCUAGAGAGUUGGGGUGAGAAUUUAGCCUUCUUGUUUUCCAUUCUAGUUCCAUUAUUGUGGAAACAAGCUAGAUUUCAUUCCAAAGUGAAAGUCAAAAUGUUCUAUGCCAGGAACAAAGGAGACAAUUGUCAAGAGACUGUAAAGGUCAAGAUGAAAUAGAUACCAUCUAGACCAUGGCUUCUUUCCCUGGACUGUCUAAGAUUUCCUUGGAAGAAGUUCCUAAUAUUUGGGAAGCAAGGGCCAGCCUGUGUGGACAGGAUGGGGACUCGUCCUCCAGGUCAUGGAGAGAUUUAUUUUGGGGAUAAGGGCACUAUGUGGGGGCAGCCAGCUCUUCCCUGGACCUGCACAGACUUGGUGCUUCUCUAAUGAGCAACACUCUCUCUCACUGCCAGGAAACCCCAGGAAUGAAGGGUCUGCUCUUAAAUGAGCAAGUGGUGCCCAGUUAAUCCCCAGUGGUUUAUAUGGAUGUUAUCUUUGGUACUUGUGGCCAUGGCAGGCUCAAAGGUUGGCUGAGGAUUGAAUCACAAGUCCCCAAGAGGUGGGUGGGAGGUAGCCAAUGAGAGACUGGAGUGUGGCAGCUCUGGUGGACUCUGGACCUGUUACACUGGUGAAAUGUCCAGCACAGGCAAGUUUCUGAGGUAACUGGAGCCAUCUUCUGCAUCUACAAAUGAGGACAGCACCUUGUUUGUUGUGACUGAACAUAUAUGGGGCACUUGGCACAGUUUUGUUUUGGAAAAAAAGAGAGGGGAGAAUAUAAGAAUAGAUUGAAGUUGUCUAAAUCAUUUAUCAUGGAAGAACCUUUUAUUCUGAUGAUAGGAGAGACAAAGUAUGGAUUGCUGGGCUGAGAGAUUGGAGGUUUUAGAUUUUCCCUAUUUGGUCCUUUUUCUCCCCACAGUGGGCCCAUGGGUUCCUCUAGGGCAUUGUUUGACUGGAUGAUUACUAACUCCCUUUCUGAUGUAAUUAAGAACAAUGAAGGAAAUAAGGAAGGGGAUCAGGAAGACAGAGAGGAGGAAGCAAAAGAGAGAGGAAGGGAGGGAGGUAAAGUCCACUCUUGCAGUGAUCACUGGGAGGAUAUUCACAUUGCUGAGUAUGCUAGAACAUGAACAGUCCCCUGCCCUCACAAGCUGACAGUCCAGGGGCAAAGUCAGGACCCCAACAGCUGAGAGAUUUGAAGGUGACUUUAAAGAGGGAUUUGUGCCCCAGGGGACACAAAGAAACAGCUCUGAUUUAGUUCAGUGAUUGGGGAAGGUAUCUUGGAAGGUAAGGACGACAGCUGUGUGGACUUUCCUGGUGACAUCACACAGAGGAAGGACUGGAUGCAUGGCACACUGUCAAUGGCAUCACAGCCCUUAGUGAUUAAUAGGAUAGGAGAUCUCUACAAUCUGUACCAUGUGUGAGGCGGGAGGUGUGAAGGAGAAACAAGACUCCUAGCUCCUUAGGUCAGAUCCAGUACACCACAGUCCACCUUCCCAGGGAGACAGGGGCUGGAGGGGGGCUGUUUCCUAUGAGGCCCCAUGAGAAGUACAAAGGGUAGGAGUGCUCUGAGAAGACUAUAGUCAUCUACAGACAGAAACUUGUCUGGGAAGUUAAUGGCUGCUUGCAGAAAAUUAAUAAUAGACGCAUUAGAGUCCCUGGGAUCAACCCAUCCUGGCAGCUGCUCCAGCUUGAAAACCAUGAAUAGAACCUAAGCUUGACCUGGAGCAGUUCUGCCUAUUGUAAAGGAUGGAAGAGCAUCCAGCCCUUCCUGAGGCUGAUGGGGAAGGUGGAUUUGCAGUUGGUUCAAUCUAAAUAGGAGAUUCUUUGGGCUGCCAGGAGUUGUUGGAAAGGACACUCAGGAAGGCUUCCUUAUACCUACAUUGCUUGCUUCAUGAUGGAAAUAGAUGAACACACUUCAUUCUGGGUGCCACUGAGUUGGCCACUACUUUUGCAGGGGAGCACCUUGUUGAAGGAACAGGAAAAGAGGAACAGCACUGGAAUUCACAGCCAGAUGGUCUGGUUCCAAUGAGUAUGCCCUUAAACCAUUUUCCUUUAUUAUUAGUUUAUUUAUUUAGAGACAGAGUCUUCCUAUGUAGCCCAGGCUGGCCUUGAACUUGGCAAUUCUCCCGCCUUAGCCUCUGGAAGGCUAGGAUCCCAGGUGUAUAUUGCCAUGCCUGAAUUAACCAUUUUACUAUUUCUGUCUCUUACCUUUUCCCAAGUAGCUGAGAGAAAGGGGGCAGGUGAGAAAGGAAGGGCCAAGGCCCUGCUUUAGGCUGCCGAAGUUACACUCCAAUGCCAUUGCCUCCGCUCAGAACUCCAAGUUAUUCUCAGCAAGGGAACACAUUAGCUAGCCAUCACUUCACUUACCAUUCUAUAAGCAUUUACGGGGGGGGGGCAGACUGGACCUUACAUAAUAUGCAGAGUUUUCCUCCUUAGAGAAGCCCAGGUCUCGUUUUUAGGCCUCUGAAAAAUUGCCUUCAAGCCUUCUUAAGGACAGACUUUUCUAGCUGAGGAAUAGAGGAUUUGAAUGAGGACAAAUAAGUUUGGACUAGAACCAUUAGCAUACUCUCUGCAGGUUUUCUCAGAACCUUUAGCAUGCCAGUCCUGUUAACAGCUCCCUAGAUGGAUUCAGUGCACGGUGCUUCAUAGAUAGUCAAGACCAUCUCUACACAAACUCAUGCAUGCAUGCACACAUGCACAGAGGAAUGACUAUCCCGUGGGACUAAUGUAUUCUAGAGAUAGUUUAGGACAUUUGUCCUAGAAUAAUGAUGAUGUCAAAUUGUGUCUGGUUUUGAGAGUUGGGUCCCUGGCAGGGCUGGGAGGCUGGGGAAUCUCCCACUCAUCUCUCUAGCUCCGGCCUUCAGCCAGACCUACAGCAGCACAGGUCUUCAAAGAGGGCAUAAGCUGGUGAGUGCUGUAGAACAUAAUGUUAGACCUGUACCAACAUUCAUAGUAGCAUCUGCCUGUAUCUCUUUAUCCUGUCUCCUAGGUGACAGGAAUUUUCUGCCUUACAAGUCUCUGAUGAGGUUUUCCUCAUCACACAGGAAGGCUCCAUCAGCACUCAGCUCUGCCCAUGUCAUUUGCCUCUUCUCUCUACAUGGGACAGCAGGCAGUUUCCUUAUACAUCGAGUGGUGAUUUUUCAGCAGCCUUAUGCAGGCGCAUUCCCUUUCUUCAGUCUUUAGCUUCAGCUCAAUAUCUUCUCUGGCCCCCUUUCUAGCAGCAUAGGCAACUCUAUAUACUGCACUUAUCCUUGUAUCUGUGCAGGUGGACCAUGCCUUAAGCAAAGAGACCCCAUGUAGCUUGUGCUGUGGGAUCCUGGGUAGAAGGGUUGGAAAGGAGCUAAUGACACACCUACCAUCCUGCUUGGGAGGGUUUCAGGCCCUUUUCACAAACUUGCCCUCACCUAGAAAGCUUCACGGUUACUCAAGUCCAGAGUGGAGGCUCUGUUGCCAGAGAUUCCUCAACAAAACCACAAACUAGCCUGGAAAUGUGCUUUAUCAGAUCUUAGUUACCUAGUGUGUUUUCUUCACAGGUUUCCAACAUCUACAGCUUUGGCAUGGAGGCUGUUCUACACAAAUGGAAAAGUGACUGAGUGCACUGAUGAACCAAGAACAGAUUCAGACAGAGGAGGCUGGAAGGAGGAGGGAGAGAUUCUGGGGAGCCCGAGUCAUGCAAAGUGUGACCUAAGUACAGUGGAAGGAGCCCAUCAGAACUCAGUGGAAACUACACCAAAUGGAAGCCAGGUCCGGUGAUGAUGGCGGCACAUCAUCCCAGCUUCUCAAGAGGUUGCGGCACAAGGACAGUUUAUGUUUGCUGGGGUCAUUAGCACUGCUGAACGAGCUGCUCCAUUGUGGGAAGAGGCUGUAUUUUGUCCAUUAAAGCCUGAGUUUGGCAUGGGCUUGGCACACUUGUGUGCUACUUGUGAUUUUAUAUCAUAUGCACCCACGUGUACACUUCAUGCGUGUACCCCACAGAGUGGAACUGCUUGCAUACCCACAUUCCGAGUGGUUGUUACUGCUGAACAGUGUUCCUAAGUCAGCAUACCAAUUCAACUCAACCAGUGUGAAUGUGUACCAGUGGCUUUCUGUGGCCACCAACAUUAGGUAAAGCCCAUCUCUUCCAUUUGAGUCUUUCUAAUGGAAGCCUGGUGGUGGUAGCAUUUCAUCCUGGUUUUCAUGUACCAUUUUCUCAACAAUAAUACUUCCUUAUUCUUAUUGGUUGCUUUGCUAUCCUCUUUUCAGAAAUAUCAAAAUCUUUUGUCCA